GACGAACGCUGGCGACGUGCCUAAUGCAUGCAAGUCGAACGCAGGGUGCUUGCACCGCUGCGUGGCGCACGGCUGAGGAACACGUGGGUAUCAACCCCGGAGUGGGGGAUACCCCAGCGAAAGCUGGGACAAUCCCGUAUACGAUCCGCAAGGAUGAAAGGCGCAAGCCGCUCUGGGACGAGCCUGCGGCCCAUCAGGUAGUUGGUAGGGUAACGGCCUACCAAGCCGGUGACGGGUCCCUGGUCUGAGAGGACGACCAGGCAGACUGGGACUGAGACACGGCCCAGACUCCUACGGGAGGCAGCAGCAAGGAAUUUUCCCCAAUGGCCGAAAGGCUGAGGGAGCAACGCCGCGUGCAGGACGAC
rnacentral:rRNA from 1 species